CGGGAGGCAGCAGUGAGGAAUAUUGGUCAAUGGGCGAAAGCCUGAACCAGCCAUGCCGCGUGAAGGAUGACGGCGCUAUGCGUUGUAAACUUCUUUUAUACGGGAAGAAACCGUCCUACGUGUAGGGCGUUGACGGUACCGUACGAAUAAGCAUCGGCUAACUCCGUGCCAGCAGCCGCGGUAAUACGGAGGAUGCAAGCGUUAUCCGGAUUUAUUGGGUUUAAAGGGUGCGUAGGCGGACAAUUCACUCCGCGGCGAAAUCCUGCGGCUCAACCGUAGAACUGUCAUUGAUACUGAUUUUCUUGAAUACAGUUGAGGUAGGCGGAAUGUGUAAUGUAGCGGUGAAAUGCUUAGAUAUUACACAGAACACCGAUUGCGAAGGCAGCUUACUAAACUGUGAUUGACGCUGAGGCACGAAAGCGUGGGGAGCGAACAGGAUUAGAUACCCUGGUAGUCCACGCCGUAAACGAUGAUCACUCGUUGUUGGCAAUACAUCGUCAGCGACUGAGCGAAAGCAUUAAGUGAUCCACCUGGGGAGUACGAUCGCAAGAUUGAAACUCAAAGGAAUUGACGGGGGCCCGCACAAGCGGAGGAACAUGUGGUUUAAUUCGAUGAUACGCGAGGAACCUUACCUGGGCUUAAAUGUAGAACGACGGACCGGGAAACUGGUCUUUCUUCGGACGUUCUGCAAGGUGCUGCAUGGCUGUCGUCAGCUCGUGCCGUGAGGUGUCGGGUUAAGUCCCAUAACGAGCGCAACCCUCAUCAUUAGUUGCCAGCGGGUAAUGCCGGGGACUCUAAUGAAACUGCCGGUGUAAACCGAGAGGAAGGUGGGGAUGACGUCAAGUCAGCACGGCCCUUAUGUCCAGGGCUACACACGUGUUACAAUGGUCAGUACAAAGGGCAGCUACCAUGCGAAUGGAUGCUAAUCUCGAAAACUGAUCUCAGUUCGGAUCGAAGUCUGCAACUCGACUUCGUGAAGUUGGAUUCGCUAGUAAUCGCGCAUCAGCCACGGCGCGGUGAAUACGUUCCCGGGCCUUGUACACACCGCCCGUCAAGCCAUGGAAGCCGGGGGUACCUGAAGUUCGUAACCGCAAGGAGCG
rnacentral:rRNA from 1 species